rnacentral:rRNA from 1 species
UUGAACGCUGGCGGAAUGCUUUACACGUGCAAGUCGAGCGGCAGCGCGGGGGCAACCCUGGCGGCGAGCGGCGAACGGGUGAGUAAUACAUCGGAACGUACCCAGUUGUGGGGGAUAGCCCGGCGAAAGCCGGAUUAAUACCGCAUAAGUCCUGAGGGAGAAAGCGGGGGACCGUAAGGCCUCGCGCGAUUGGAGCGGCCGAUGUUCGAUUAGCUAGUUGGUGGGGUAAAAGCUCACCAAGGCGACGAUCUGUAGCUGGUCUGAGAGGACGACCAGCCACACUGGAACGGAGACACGGUCCAGACGCCUACGGGAGGCAGCAGUGGGGAAUUUUGGACAAUGGGCGCAAGCCUGAUCCAGCAAUGCCGCGUGCAGGAUGAAGGCCUUCGGGUUGUAAACUGCUUUUGUACGGAACGAAACGGUUCUCUUUAAUAAAGAGGGCUAAUGACGGUACCGUAAGAAUAAGCACCGGCUAACUACGU